rnacentral:rRNA from 1 species
AAAAACAAAAACAAUGUAUUCAUAUUCGUCCACGCCUUUUCUGUUCAUUCUCCUUUUAUUAUGCCAUUACGUCUAUCCUGCAGUUGUUGGAAUGGAUUGCCAUCGCCAUGUUGACGCAUACCGUUCAAUUUCUUCUUAUUUUUUUUCUUUUUCAAUAACAUUUCGUCCUCUUCUUCAUCUUCAUUAAACUCUUUCAACAAACGCCGUUUCCUGGCUUCAUCGGCAAGACUACGAUCCACUGAAUUCAUUUCACCAGUCCAACUUUUCACUGAAGGUCCCAAAGCGCAGCCAGUGUAACUUUUCAAAUGUUUCAGCAAAUCAGCAUGAUUAUCGCUAAGGCUACUGCUACUGUUCGACCGCUGUUGCUUAAUGAGGGAGUUGCUUCGGCUCGACGAUUUUGAUGCAGAUACAUCCCGACUAGUGAAAAAUCGUUUUGGUUUUUCGGCAUGUUGCUUUGAAUGCUCUUCCUCCAUUUUCACAGAGAAGAUAUCUCUGCAAUCGUUGUCAUUAUCAUCAUCAUUAUCACUGGGAAGAUUACCAGCGCAUAAAUUCGACGAUUCAGCACCAUUCACACUGCUAAUUUUCUUUUCUGCAUUAACAUCCUCCUUGCAUUGGCUUUGAAGAGUUUUGAGCGUGAGCUCGCUCGGAGCCGCUGUUGGUGCAGAUCUUGGUGGUAGUAGCAAAUAUUCAAGUGAGAACCUUGAAGGCUGAAGUGGAGCAAGGUUCCAUGUGAACAGCAGUUGGACAUGGGUCAGUCGAUCCUAAGAAAACGGCGAAAGCUUGUUCGAAUUUGCGACAUGAAUUGUAAGACUGUGUGUGUUUAUUGUGUGUGCAGUUGUCGUAUGUUUUCGAAAGGGAAUCCGGUUGAUAUUCCGGAACCGAGUAACGGAGACAAAGAGUAGCGCUUUAAUCUCUCUGUGGGGUUGGCGUUCAACUCAAUCGCGCGGUAACGCAAGCGAACUCGGAAAAUGACCGUCGUGAGUUUCGAAAAGAGUUUUCUUUUCUUUUUAAGGGACGCAUUCCCUGGAACCGGGUUGUCCGGAGAUAGGGAUUCUGGUAUCCAUAAAACGCCGACUUUUUCACGGUGUUCGGAGCGCUCUCGUCGGUACGUGAAAAUCCGAGCGACGCCUGGUAAAUCUCGUACUUGGUCGUACUGAUAUCCGCAGCAGGUCUCCAAGGUGAAUAGCCUCUGGCCGAUAGAAUAAUGUAGGUAAGGGAAGUCGGCAAAACGGAUCCGUAACUUCGGAACAAGGAUUGGCUCUAAGGGCUGGGCCGAUCGGGCUGAGGUUUCAAGCGUGCAGUGUAUGCUUGGCUGAGUUGUGUUGAGGACUUGUUCACUUGCCGCCGUUUGUUCGGUUGGUCUAGUGUAUUCGAGUCUGAAGCAGAGCUGGCCGACAGACCGGCACGUGCAGAACCUGAGCUGCGCGGCUGUCCGUUUACGUGUACAGACCGUUUCGGUCGGCAUUCAACAGCCAACUUAGAACUGGCACGGACACAAGGAAUCUGACUGUAUAAUUAAAACAAAGCAUUGCGAUGGCCGAUGAUCGGUGAUGACGCAAUGUGAUUUCUGCCCAGUGCUCUGAAUGUCAAAGUGAAGAAAUUCAAUCAAGCGCGGGUAAACGGCGGGAGUAACUAUGACUCUCUUAAGGUAGCCAAAUGCCUCGUCAUCUAAUUAGUGACGCGUAUGAAUGGAUCAACAAGAUUCCUUCUGUCCCUAUCUACUAUCUAGCGAAACCACAGCCAAGGGAACGGGCUUGGCAAAAUCAGCGGGGAAAGAAGACCCUGUUGAGCUUGACUCUAGUCUGACUCUGUGAAGAGACAUGAAAGGUGUAGCAUAGGUGGGAGAUUGUCAAAUUGCCAUCGUUCGCGCGGUGGUCCGGUGAUCGCCAAUGAAAUACCACUACUUUGAUCGUUUCUUUACUUAUUCGGUAAAGCGAAAAAAUUGUGGCCAAUUUGGCGGUGUUUAUGUCGCUGUUGGUCAUUGUUUUCAUGUUAGAUUGAAGCUUUGUUUACAGCCGUCGCUUUGUGUCGCCAUUUGACGCAUUGUUGUACUGGGUUAUCCCGGUGUGUGGUGUAGUCAGUAUGGAUGAUCGGCGAUAGGUUUGAAGUGAUUCGCUCCGGAAACAGUGUCAGACGGGGAGUUUGACUGGGGCGGUACAUCUGUUAAACGAUAACGCAGGUGUCCUAAGGUAAGCUCAGCGAGGACAGAAACCUCGCUUAGAGUAAACGGGCACAAGCUUACUUGAUUUUGAUUUCCAGUACGAAUAGAAACCGCGAAAGCGUGGCCUAUCGAUCCUUUUGAUUGUGUAGAUUUCAUGCAAGAGGUGUCAGAAAAGUUACCACAGGGAUAACUGGCUUGUGGCAGCCAAGCGUCCAUAGCGACGUUGCUUUUUGAUCCUUCGAUGUCGGCUCUUCCUAUCAUUGCGAAGCAGAAUUCGCCAAGCGUUGGAUUGUUCACCCACCAAUAGGGAACGUGAGCUGGGUUUAGACCGUCGUGAGACAGGUUAGUUUUACCCUACUGAUGACAAGUCGUUGCGAUAGUAAUCCUGCUCAGUACGAGAGGAACCGCGGGAUCAGACAUUUGGUUCAUGCGCUCGGCUGAAAGGCCGGUGGCGCGAAGCUAGCAUCUGCAAGAUUAUGACUGAACGCCUCUAAGUCAGAAUCUUUUCUAGUCAUUGGCAACGAUAAGUUGCGUCCAGACUCGAUGCGAGGAAACGAUUAGGCUUUGCUAUACGGCGAAGCCAUUAUCAGACCACGGUAGCAGGCAGUAUGGGAUUGUUACGAAAAAGCAAUUUUUUGAAGUCAGUUGAAUUCAAUCAAACUGCUAACAAUUCCACUGCGAAUGACUCCAUUCGAAUCAAUCGAAGCACAGCGGUCAGGAUGUCGAACAUUUUGCAGACGACAAAAAUACCGGUUCAGGUGUCGUAAUCAGUAGAGCAGUCAACACACUGCGAUCUGAUGAGACUCAUCCUUGUAAUCGAUUUGCUCGUCGCGUGUACAUC